rnacentral:rRNA from 1 species
GGAAACUGCCUGAUGGAGGGGGAUAACUACUGGAAACGGUAGCUAAUACCGCAUAACGUCGCAAGACCAAAGAGGGGGACCUUCGGGCCUCUUGCCAUCGGAUGUGCCCAGAUGGGAUUAGCUUGUUGGUGGGGUAACGGCUCACCAAGGCGACGAUCCCUAGCUGGUCUGAGAGGAUGACCAGCCACACUGGAACUGAGACACGGUCCAGACUCCUACGGGAGGCAGCAGUGGGGAAUAUUGCACAAUGGGCGCAAGCCUGAUGCAGCCAUGCCGCGUGUAUGAAGAAGGCCUUCGGGUUGUAAAGUACUUUCAGCGGGGAGGAAGGGAGUAAAGUUAAUACCUUUACUCAUUGACGUUACCCGCAGAAGAAGCACCGGCUAACUCCGUGCCAGCAGCCGCGGUAAUACGGAGGGUGCAAGCGUUAAUCGGAAUUACUGGGCGUAAAGCGCACGCAGGCGGUUUGUUAAGUCAGAUGUGAAAUCCC